AGUGAACGCUGGCGGUAGGCCUAACACAUGCAAGUCGAAUGACAGCACACUAUGAGCUUGCUCGUAAGUGUGGCGAGUGACGGACGGGUGAGGAAUACGUCGGCAGCUACUUUUUCGUGGGGGAUAACCGAGAGAAACUGACGCUAAUACCGCGUACUACCUACGGGUGGAAUCAGAGAGGCUUCGAACCUUACGCUACUGAAUGAGCCUGGGUCGGAUUAGCUAGUUGGCGAGGUAAAGGCCCACCAAGGCGAAGAUCCGUAGCCGGCCUGAGAGGAUGAUCAGCCACACUGGAACUGAGACACGGCCCAGACUCCUACGGGAGGCAGCAGUGGGGAAUAUUCGACAAUGGGCGCAAGCCUGAUCCAGCAAUACCGCGUGGGUGAAGAAGGUCUUCGGGUUGUAAAGCCCUUUUGUUAGGAAAGAAAAGCAGCAGGUGAAUAUCUCGGUGUUCUGACGGUACCCAAAGAAUAAGCACCGGCUAACUUCGUG
rnacentral:rRNA from 1 species